UACAUGGGGUGCAAACGUUGCUCGGAAUCAUUGGGCGUAAAGCGCGCGUAGGCGGCCUUCUAAGUCGAACGUGAAAUCCCCGGGCUCAACCCGGGAACUGCGUCCGAUACUGGAAGGCUUGAAUCCGGGAGAGGGAUGCGGAAUUCCGAGGUGUAGCGGUGAAAUGCGUAGAUAUCUGGAGGAACACCGGUGGCGAAGGCGGCGAUCC
rnacentral:rRNA from 1 species